AGAGCUUGAUCCUGGCUCAGGACGAACGCUGGCGGCGUGCCUAAUACAUGCAAGUCGAGCGGACAGAUGGGAGCUUGCUCCCUGAUGUUAGCGGCGGACGGGUGAGUAACACGUGGGUAACCUGCCUGUAAGACUGGGAUAACUCCGGGAAACCGGGGCUAAUACCGGAUGGUUGUUUGAACCGCAUGGUUCAAACAUAAAAGGUGGCUUCGGCUACCACUUACAGAUGGACCCGCGGCGCAUUAGCUAGUUGGUGAGGUAACGGCUCACCAAGGCGACGAUGCGUAGCCGACCUGAGAGGGUGAUCGGCCACACUGGGACUGAGACACGGCCCAGACUCCCACGGGAGGCAGCAGUAGGGAAUCUUCCGCAAUGGACGAAAGUCUGACGGAGCAACGCCGCGUGAGUGAUGAAGGUUUUCGGAUCGUAAAGCUCUGUUGUUAGGGAAGAACAAGUACCGUUCGAAUAGGGCGGUACCUUGACGGUACCUAACCAGAAAGCCACGGCUAACUACGUGCCAGCAGCCGCGGUAAUACGUAGGUGGCAAGCGUUGUCCGGAAUUAUUGGGCGUAAAGGGCUCGCAGGCGGUUUCUUAAGUCUGAUGUGAAAGCCCCCGGCUCAACCGGGGAGGGUCAUUGGAAACUGGGGAACUUGAGUGCAGAAGAGGAGAGUGGAAUUCCACGUGUAGCGGUGAAAUGCGUAGAGAUGUGGAGGAACACCAGUGGCGAAGGCGACUCUCUGGUCUGUAACUGACGCUGAGGAGCGAAAGCGUGGGGAGCGAACAGGAUUAGAUACCCUGGUAGUCCACGCCGUAACGAUGAGUGCUAAGUGUUAGGGGGUUUCCGCCCCUUAGUGCUGCAGCUAACGCAUUAAGCACUCCGCCUGGGGAGUACGGUCGCAAGACUGAAACUCAAAGGAAUUGACGGGGGCCCGCACAAGCGGUGGAGCAUGUGGUUUAAUUCGAAGCAACGCGAAGAACCUUACCAGGUCUUGACAUCCUCUGACAAUCCUAGAGAUAGGACGUCCCCUUCGGGGGCAGAGUGACAGGUGGUGCAUGGUUGUCGUCAGCUCGUGUCGUGAGAUGUUGGGUUAAGUCCCGCAACGAGCGCAACCCUUGAUCUUAGUUGCCAGCAUUCAGUUGGGCACUCUAAGGUGACUGCCGGUGACAAACCGGAGGAAGGUGGGGAUGACGUCAAAUCAUCAUGCCCCUUAUGACCUGGGCUACACACGUGCUACAAUGGACAGAACAAAGGGCAGCGAAACCGCGAGGUUAAGCCAAUCCCACAAAUCUGUUCUCAGUUCGGAUCGCAGUCUGCAACUCGACUGCGUGAAGCUGGAAUCGCUAGUAAUCGCGGAUCAGCAUGCCGCGGUGAAUACGUUCCCGGGCCUUGUACACACCGCCCGUCACACCACGAGAGUUUGUAACACCCGAAGUCGGUGAGGUAACCUUUUAGGAGCCAGCCGCCGAAGGUGGGACAGAUGAUUGGGGUGAAGUCGUAACAAGGUA
rnacentral:rRNA from 1 species